AACGUAGGAGGCAAGCGUUAUCCGGAGUUACUGGGCGUAAAGCGCGUGUAGGUGGGUUGGUAAGUUACUUAUAAAAGCCCCCGGCUAAACUGGGGGAGGUUGAGUGAUACUGCCAGUCUUGAAUAGAGGAGAGGUUGACGGAAUUCCGCGUGUAGUGGUGAAAUGCGUAGAGAUGCGGAAGAACACCAGUGGCGAAGGCGGUCAACUGGCCUCAUAUUGACACUCAGACGCGAAGGCAUGGGUAGCGAACGGG
rnacentral:rRNA from 1 species